rnacentral:rRNA from 1 species
GACGAACGCUGGCGGUGUGCUUCAUACAUGCAAGUCGAACGAGGUAGCAAUACCUAGUGGCGGACGGGUGAGUAACGCGUGGGAAUCUGCCUUAAAAUGGGGGAUAGCUGGCCGAAAGGCUAAUUAAUACCGCAUAAGCGCAUAGCUUUAAGGGUUAUGCGUAAAAGGAGUAAUCCGUUUUAAGAUGAGCCCGCGUCCGAUUAGCUAGUUGGUAGGGUAACGGCCUACCAAGGCUAUGAUCGGUAGGUGGUCUGAGAGGAUGAUCACCCACAAUGGA